rnacentral:rRNA from 1 species
GACGAACGCUGGCGGCGUGCCUAAUGCAUGCAAGUAGAACGCACAGUUUAUACCGUAGCUUGCUACACCAUAGACUGUGAGUUGCGAACGGGUGAGUAACGCGUAGGUAACCUGCCUGGUAGCGGGGGAUAACUAUUGGAAACGAUAGCUAAUACCGCAUAAUAUUGAUUAUUGCAUGAUAAUUGAUUGAAAGAUGCUAUUGCAUCACUACCAGAUGGACCUGCGUUGUAUUAGCUAGUAGGUGAGGUAACGGCUCACCUAGGCGACGAUACAUAGCCGACCUGAGAAGGUGAUCGGCCACACUGGGACUGAGACACGGCCCAGACUCCUACGGGAGGCAGCAGUAGGGAAUCUUCGGCAAUGGACGAAAGUCUGACCGAGCAACGCCGCGUGAGUGAAGAAGGUUUUCGGAUCGUAAAGCUCUGUUGUAAGAGAAGAACGGGUGUGAGAGUGGAAAGUUCACACUGUGACGGUAUCUGACCAGAAAGGGACGGCUAACUACGUG